rnacentral:rRNA from 1 species
UACAGAGGUCUCAAGCGUUGUUCGGAUUCAUUGGGCGUAAAGGGUGCGUAGGCGGCGCGGUAAGUCGGGUGUGAAAUCUCGGGGCUUAACUCCGAAACUGCAUUCGAUACUGCCCUGCUUGAGGACUGGAGAGGAGACUGGAAUUUACGGUGUAGCGGUGAAAUGCGUAGAUAUCGUAAGGAAGACCAGUGGCGAAGGCGGGUCUCUGGACAGUUCCUGACGCUGAGGCACGAAGGUCAGGGGAGCAAACAGG